GCCAGGCCCAUCGAGGUCCCAGGAGUGAAUGCCUCAUUGUUGGCCAGGCCAGAGUCACAGAUAAUUACCUCAAUUAGUGACAAUGGGAGAGUAAUAAAUACAGGCUUAGUGUCUCCUACCCCACCAGGGCUCCGAAGAUUAAUCCAGGCUGACGGGCGGGCCCUGAAAGGCGUGAUGGACAAUUCAUUAAACUCCCCAAAUGCCGCACAACCUGGGCGUGAAGGCUGAGUUAGCCCCCUGGGGGCUGUGCCUUUGUCCCGAUUGUGUGUCUCCGCCACAGCAGAGCCGGGCAGCCCCCAGAGAGUGGGGAGGCCAACGUGUAUCCAGCGCCCUGGCACCUGAAGAUCAGAGGUGGUGAGAGGUGGCGCAUCAAGCACAGUCCUGAUGACACCAUCCUAUGGCCACCACCCUGAGCCUACUGUGGCUCCUGAGACCUUUAGGAAGAUGCUACACUGGUGGGGGCGAGGAGCCGCUAAUAGCUACAGUGGAAGGAAAUACUGAUUCCAGGAGGCAAACGCAUCUUUGAGA
rnacentral:lncRNA from 1 species